CAACAAAAAAAUAGCUGGGCUCUGUCCUCUUUCCUGCAUGUGAGGAGUUUCACGUACCCCCAGUGGUGGUCGUGUCCUCAGGGCUUCUGCUGCUGUCUUAGCCCCCUCACGAUAGGGGGCAUCCUGUUUGAGGAUAAUUUCAAUGUGAAAGAUAGUGACCCAGAGAGCAAGACCUUUGACCACGUGUCUCCGUUGCAUUGUGAGAGUGAAUUUUUCAAGAUAGAUUACAUCUUAGAUGGAAACAUCCAGAUUUACCCUGUAGACUUAGGUGACAAUUUCUGGUUGGUCAUAGCUAGUACCUUGUAUGAAGACAGUACCCUGGAUGAUGGUGAAUGCAACCCCACUGAUGACAGGCCUUCCAGGGCUGAUCAGUUUGAGUAUGUAAUGUAUGGAACAGUGUACAGGAUUGAGGGAGAUGAAACUUCUACCGAAGUAGCAACACCUCUCUGCCUCCGUGUCCUAUGGGGGCCUGCUCAUGAGGCUGCAGGGUGAUAACCUGCAUGGAUUUGAAGUGGAUUCCAGAGUUUACCUGCUGAUGAAGAGACUGGCCUGAACUCGAGGAAAGCAGGCCUGGAUGCUGAGUCACCCAGAUUGUCACAUUGUCAAGCUUGAGUGACAGAUGCUGUUGUUCACUUGAUAAGGAGAAGCUGCUCCCUUUCUCCUGAGGGAGCAUCUUUAGCUGAUCUGAACUCACUGGGAAACUGACUUGCCUGUGAAAGACCCAGUGGAAGAGCUUAAAAUGAAUAAGAAGUUGUCUUGUGUAUGUGAUUUUUUUAACUAAACUUUACUUUUUCAGAUUGUACCCCCUUAAAAAAAAAAAAAAUAGCCAGGCGUUGU